GAACAAAUGAUGAUAUAAAGAUUUAAUGAUACUGAGACCUAUGUCCUUGAAGUCUCAAAAAAUCGAGCUUUUUAAAGCUGAUGCUCA